GACGAACGCUGGCGGCGCGCUUAACACAUGCAAGUCGUGCGGUGUCGAAGGCAAGUCUUACGACAAGCCUUCGACACAGCGGCGAACGGGUGAGUAACACGUGAGUAGCUGUCCUAAGGAGGGGGAUAACGCCUGGAAACGGGUGCUAACACCCCAUAUGCCUCGCAAGAGGUGAAAGUGUACUUGCUACAGCCUUAGGGUGUGCUCGCGGCCUAUCAGCUAGUUGGUGAGGUAACGGCUCACCAAGGCCAAGACGGGUAGCCGGCCUGAGAGGGUGUACGGCCACACUGGAAUUGAGAUACGGUCCAGACUCCUACGGGAGGCAGCAGUGGGGAAUCUUGGGCAAUGGGCGAAAGCCUGACCCAGCGACGCCGCGUUGGGGAUGAAGCCCUUCGGGGCAUAAACCCAUGUUGUAGGGGACGAAGAAAGUGACGGUACCCUACGAGAAAGCCCCGGCCAACUACGUGCCAGCAGCCGCGGGUAAAAUAGUACGUACGUACCUCGUAGGACGGGCGGUCGGCGACGGAC
rnacentral:rRNA from 1 species